UUAAUUCGUGAUUUAAUUCUUGUUUAGGUAAAAAUAGAACACAACAAGAUGGGUUAUACCUUUAGCUCCAUUGAGUACGGGAUUUAUGCUAGGCAGUACAAUGAACAAAGGAAUUGAGGAAAAUGAUAGUGUUUCCAAGCUUCAACAGGUGGCUGACAUGGCAAACAUGCGGGGUCCGAAGAAACGGGCGCCACCGUAAGCGGAGGAUUCCGCGGCAUGCUGCUUCCAGGCACAGAGAAUGGCACAUGAGGUGGUCGAGACAUGUGUGGCGUGGUAGUUCCAAAGAAACAGGUACCUUUGGCGGAGGAGGCAGCGGUGACAGUACAUGCAGCAGUGUGCUGCUUCCGCAGAGCGGGAGGCGGAUGGGUGGCAGCCGAUGUGCUGUGCGUGGUUCAACGCACAUAUACAACCUCCACUAUUGAAUGUUUCCAUUAUGGUAUUAAGUUGUUGCAGAGACUAGAUGUAAUUGAUAUCUAUCAAUAUUAAUAUAUUCCUUUUAUGGAAAAAUUGACUGUUUCCAGGCAGCA